AAACCAGCACCUCAAGUGGUCAGGAUGAUUAUUGGGCCUAAAGCAUCCGUAGCCUGUUGCAUAAGUUUUCGGUUAAAUCCAUAUGCUCAACAUAUGGGCUGCCGGUAAUACUGUGCAACUAGGGAGUGGGAGAGGUAGACGGUACUCGGUAGGAAGGGGUAAAAUCCUUUGAUCUAUUGAUGACCACCUGUGGCGAAGGCGGUCUACCAGAACACGUUCGACGGUGAGGGAUGAAAGCUGGGGGAGCAAACCGGAUUAGAAACCCCAGUAGUCC
rnacentral:rRNA from 1 species